GUUGUGGGUAACCCGGACGUGGAAGAACCUCGUCUGCGGAGGAAAAGGUAGAUGUUAAAUGGUAACUACGCGCGAGGUUCUGAGGAGCCCUGGGAACAGGAAGGAGAAAAGAAUACCAAAAGUGACAACAGUUUGCCAAUCGCAGUCUUUAAUCUGAUAAAGCGGUUAUCUCGUCUUGAGUCCCAGGUGCCGAGUCAAUCCCCAUACACAGCCGCCGCCAUUGCCUCGAGUCCUUGUGUCUGACUGUCUGUUCCUGCUGCUGUAUGACACAGCACCUCGAGGCAAGGAAAUAAGAAAACUGCCUCUGAUCCAAGCAGAGAAGAACUCCUGUAGCCUGUAAUACCAGCUGUGGGUACUACUCUCAGUGUUGGAGAUCAUCAAAAUACAAUUGGACCAGACCCUUUGGAAAUAAUUCUGUGUCUCAAAUGCCCUGUGGAGCACACACUUAAUCAGUUGAUGGCUAUGGAAUUUUCCAACAUCAGCUAAAGAGAAGGGCCUACUUUAAGGCUGGCCAAUUCUGCAAGAAAGGCAAGGAGGAGGAGACUGGCUCACAGCUCUGGAGGACCCCCUUCU
rnacentral:sRNA from 1 species